CCUUUGUGUUAUCUUCUUCACGAAAACACGUUUCCAGAAAGAAAACAAAACUCCUCUGUUCAUCUAUCUCUCUCGCGCUCUCUCAUAUUCUCAGCAACAAAACCUCGCCUUUUCGCUCUCGAUCUCUCAACCUCGCAAUCGAUUAAGCAUCACCUAUCUAAAUCAAAGCAAGCAAAACCCUAAACCCAAUCGAUCCCUUUCCUCAAUGCAAUAAGUUUCGAUGAUCUCAAGUACAAGUCAUGAAUAAUCAAAGCAAACAGAAAUCACAGGAACAACAAUGGAUACAAGUACAUCAAACAAAUUCAAAUCGAAAUCAAAAGUAAUAAAAGAGAAUAGGUACGAUACUCUUUUUCGAUGCUUCAGACGUUGCGGAACUUAUCUUCUUCGUAUUCCGUUUUCAACUCUGAAUUCACGUCAUAAACAUCUUUGUGUUGUAGUUACUCGUUGCGAAUCGUUGAAGCUGUUUUGGUUUUGCAGAAAGAUGUUACUGAUGUUGUGUGAUGAACUGUGGUUUUGAAUCGGUUUGGGUUAUUGUUGAGGGUGUUUGUUCGUGAGGUUUGUGAAGAGUGUGGUUCUGUUGAAACUCGUGCGUGUAUGUUCAGUGAGCGGUUUGUAACGGUGUUGGGGUUUGUAUAAGGUGGAGUGUGGUAUGAACAGAGGUUUAAGGUGAAAAUUGUGGUGUAGUUGCGGAUUGUUUGUGAGUGAGGGUUUGGAGGAAGUUCUAAGUUGUUGUUUUUUUUGGCAGAGUUCUUUGUGCCUUCCCCCUGAUGAAUGAAAGAUGAGAGGUUUAAAUAGGGAGGUGAUUAGGGUUUUGGUUGAGAAUUUGAGAUGAAAAUUGGGUGGAAAGUUUGGUUGGUGGAGCAGAGUAUUUGGACUGUUGUAGCAGGCUUGCUGAAGAACGUGAAAGACAAAAGGCUGGCUUGCAGAAUCGUGAAAGUCAGCAACCAUAUACCUCCUUUUUUGUUUUUUGUUUGACUUGUAAUAAAGCUAAUAGAAUGAAAAAUGUAAUUGGGCUUUACAAAAAGAAGAAAAAAAUUGCAAGUUGGGCCUAAAAAAUGAAAAUUCUGAAUAUAUCAAAAUUCUCUCUUUUUUUA